GGUUGUUGCCGUUGUUGUUGACUUGAGUUUGCGUUGCCAUUUGACGUUUGCUGCAUGUUGCGCUCUUCUCUUUUUGUUUUGUUUUUAUAGAAUGAUUGCGAGGAAUGUUUUGUUGAUACUAACAGCACCGACGACGAUGGUUUCUAUAAUGUCAACGUGAAGAACCUGUGCAGGAGCUUCGGUGAUUUAUCGAAAAUUGGCAAUUGCUGCCACGAGAUCAGGGCUGAGAGACCUACCAACCUGAAAACGACUAAAUCUAUGUCUGAUAUCCGAAGUGUCGGGAGAUCUAAUAGCGUUGAAACGAAUGUCUUUAACGCAGUGUCGGUGCGGGCUCUGAGAGACAAAUUUAACGAUUCAGGCACUAACUUCUCCCCAAAAAUUAGACCGGUCCGUACAAUUAACACUAAAGUCGGCAAUUGCCUAAAGAGUUUGGUAAGUGCUGCUGGUGCUACUGCUGAUGAUGAUGAUGAUUCUAAUAAUAAGCCACCCUUCGUAGUUUGUACUAGCACUGUCUUCUUCUUGCAUAUCUCCUAGUUUAGUUUCGCUUUAGUUUUUCUUGUUGAAAAAAUAAAUUGGCUCUUCUCGGAAAUCGAAAUCCAGGUGAAGGAACGUCGACACACUAAGGAAUAAUACCUCGCUCCUUCCUUCUUCACAUACGAUCACCCGUACUCAUACACAUCGCAUUUUUUUACUUCAUUACUCAUUUCAACUUCAUCAUCAUAAUAUACAACAAAGUUCUUUUCUAAUGCGUCACUCUAUCUC